GAUGAACGCUGGCUACAGGCUUAUCACAUGCAAGUCGAGGGGAAACGACGGGGAAGCUUGCUUCCCCGGGCGUCGACCGGCGCACGGGUGAGUAACGCGUAUCCAACCUGCCUCUGACUGAGGGAUAACCCGUCGAAAGUCGGCCUAAUACCUCAUGGCAUCGUCUGCGGGCAUCCAACGACGAUUAAAGAUUUCAUCGGUCAGGGAUGGGGAUGCGUCUGAUUAGCUAGUUGGCGGGGUAACGGCCCACCAAGGCGACGAUCAGUAGGGGUUCUGAGAGGAAGGUCCCCCACAUUGGAACUGAGACACGGUCCAAACUCCUACGGGAGGCAGCAGUGAGGAAUAUUGGUCAAUGGGCGAGAGCCUGAACCAGCCAAGUAGCGUGCAGGAUGACGGCCCUAUGGGUUGUAAACUGCUUUUAUGCGGGGAUAAAGUGAGGGACGUGUCCUUCAUUGCAGGUACCGCAUGAAUAAGGACCGGCUAAUUCCGUG
rnacentral:rRNA from 1 species